rnacentral:rRNA from 1 species
UUCGGUGGUUUUGGCGGAGGGGAAACACCCGGUCCCAUUCCGAACCCGGAAGUUAAGCCCUCCAGCGCCGAUGGUACUGCAUGGGAGACUGUGUGGGAGAGUAGGACACCGCCGGAC